CGAUUCAAACGUUAUCACUCGAUUGAAUGGGCGUUAUCAGCGGUUAUCAGCCCAUAGAUAUGGGCCAGGAGGGGCCUCCUGCGCCUACUAGUAGGCUCAGAAGGCUGUGAUCAUCCACCCACAUGGUUGAUCACCCACAAAUAUACAAGAGAAGACUCCAGAUCCAAUCCCAGAAUUCCUGCUCACCGGUAAUCGGAAGUCUACUGGACGAACGCGGCAACGUUGCGAUAUUUCCUGCUUAAUAUUUUCAGCAUACAUUUCCAGCUGGUUGCAAGGACUUCUGUGGCAAGUUUGUUUUAUUACUUCCAUGCUCUAUGUCUUUGUUGAACUAUCCAAAAUUUGGUUUUGGGCUGUUUAGAAUUUAUUGUUCACAAAUCUGUCUUGUGCAAGUUUCUCUCUGUUUAUGUUUUAGGUUGAAGAUGGCCCAGAGAGGUAAGCCUUACAGUUGCUAAUCUAGAAGCAUUAGGCAAGAGUGUCUGAGAACGAUGAACUGGAUCGGUAAUUACAAAAGAUCACAAAUGACUAAUGCUUCGUCUGAACCCCGGCCAAAGUUCACAUUAGAGAGCUGUCGCCUUACAAUCUUUUGUAGGGACAUAUUCAAAAACAAAGAUGGAGGCAAUUUUUGCUGUGUCUGCCGCGUCCAUUUUGAUGAUAAGAAGAAGAAUGCAAGAAAGAAGUGGCGUUCAUGGUCUCAGUGCACAGUGUGCCAAUCAUGGUCACACACAGCAUGUGGCUUUAAAAAGAACGUGCCUUCACCGCCAGUGUCAAGACACAAUGCAAACACCCUGAAGAUGUAUCUUGUUACUUGUUUGGGUUGUUUUUACUGUGUUGACGGCCCCCAACCCAUCCAUACAAACACACACACACAAUACAUACAUAUGCUGCAAAUUUAUUGUAAUGACUACACUUCACACGUAAGAAGAAAAUUGUGAUCUUUUUGUUAUUUUCAUUCAUCCCAAUUUUUAUUUAUUAUUGUUGUUUGUUGGGACCAUCAAUGUGGUCUCCUUUAUACAGGACUUAUGUGGGGACCAAUAAAGUUAUAUUGUACUGAA